rnacentral:rRNA from 1 species
CCUACGGGUGGCUGCAGUGGGGAAUAUUGCACAAUGGGCGCAAGCCUGAUGCAGCCAUGCCGCGUGUGUGAAGAAGGCCUUCGGGUUGUAAAGCACUUUCAGCGGGGAGGAAGGCGGUGAGGUUAAUAACCUCAUCGAUUGACGUUACCCGCCGAAGAGGCACCGGCUAACUCCGUGCCAGCAGCCGCGGUAAUACGGAGGGUGCAAGCGUUAAUCGGAAUUACUGGGCGUAAAGCGCACGCAGGCGGUCUGUCAAGUCGGAUGUGAAAUCCCCGGGCUCAACCUGGGAACUGCAUUCGAAACUGGCAGGCUAGAGUCUUGUAGAGGGGGGUAGAAUUCCAGGUGUAGCGGUGAAAUGCGUAGAGAUCUGGAGGAAUACCGGUGGCGAAGGCGGCCCCCUGGACAAAGACUGACGCUCAGGUGCGAAAGCGUGGGGAGCAAACAGGGUUAGAUACCCUAGUAGUC